rnacentral:lncRNA from 1 species
AUUUAAAAUCAUCACACAUUACAAUCUUACAAGUUUUUACAAAGUACAUAACUUUGAGACAUUACAAACAUGUAGAGUAUUUAAAAUAACAAAAAAAUACAAGCACUCUUUCCAAAAACACCUACACAAUAAUGAAAUCAAAUGAUAUGAGAUAUAAGAUAUGCUUUUCUAUGUCACCAGCAAACAUGAAAAAAAAAAAGAAGAAGCAGAAUCUACAAUCCUGUUUGAAGAAUGGUUUCUAUAAAAAGUUCUGUAGUCGUAAAAAUCAUCAAAUCCUUUUUCUGUAUAAGAAUGAAACAAUCCCAAAGUACCACCCAAGCGCAAAUAAUCUGUAGAGAAAUAUAGAGAGAGUUAGAAUUACAACAAAAUGAGAGUUUUCACUAAUAUCAAGGCAUUUUGAUAAGAUAAACCAAUCCUACAUGAAACAAUAGUCAAAUUGUCCUUCUUUGUAAACAGAAAUACAAGUAAAAACAACAAGAAAAAAAAC